AUCGACUUGAUGAUCGUAAGUUGCGUCAAGUCUGCAGCAGACCUGCCGCAACUCGAGCGUUUCUGACUGCGUACGCUGGCACAGACCGAGUUUAUAUAUUAUUAAUCUUAUAUUAAUUUGCGUUCCUUCAGUUGCUUAAAUAACUCUUCGGUUGCUGCGUAAAUUGCCUGAUCAGCGGUUUCAAAGUGGUUCUUCACAGAGAGGCCAGGUGCAGCAUCUUUCGCUGUUCCAUCGUACACGCAAGAUUCAUUCCAUGAGUGAACUCGUCCUGAAGCUACGUAUUUAAUUGUGCGACCAUUAUGUAUGUCCUAAAUACAUUAAAUAAGAGGAUCUACCUUAUGUCAAUAAGAAACAAAGUA
rnacentral:lncRNA from 1 species